CACAUAUAUAUAUAGCACCGCUGCAUAUGGGUCCCUUUCAUGUCGUCGUUAUCUGUCUUGGACGGACGUAGCUGUCAACAUGGGCCUAUUAUGCCUGGCCGGCCAUCUUAAUCGUUUCAGGAUGAAGCUGCCGUCGUCGAUGGAUCAGUCGUGUUCAGACACCUUGUUGUUCCUAUAGCUCUCGUUGUCUAUAGUAGCUACUACUAGCUGCUGCUAGGAUCGGAGGGUUUGCACUGCCGAAUGCUGGAGCACUGUUCACUGUGCCCUACUGCUGCUGCUCUGCUAGCUGGCCUGGCUAACGUCGUUGCACCUAACAAUUAAUUAAUGCUCAUUCGAUCGAGAAAUAUGGAGCCCCA
rnacentral:lncRNA from 7 species